CCAACUGACGCUGAGGCUCGAAAGUGUGGGUAGCAAACAGGAUUAGAUACCCUGGUAGUCCACACCGUAAACGAUGAUUACUAGGUGUUGGGGGAUUGACCCCCUCAGUGCCGCAGUUAACACAAUAAGUAAUCCACCUGGGGAGUACGACCGCAAGGUUGAAACUCAAAGGAAUUGACGGGGGCCCGCACAAGCAGUGGAGUAUGUGGUUUAAUUCGACGCAACGCGAAGAACCUUACCAAGUCUUGACAUCCUGCGACGUGCUAGAAAUAUGUACUUUCCUUCGGGACGCAGAGACAGGUGGUGCAUGGUUGUCGUCAGCUCGUGUCGUGAGAUGUUGGGUUAAGUCCCGCAACGAGCGCAACCCCUAUGGUCAGUUACUA
rnacentral:rRNA from 1 species